GUGGAGAACGAUCAGAAGUCCUGGACGACAAAGAAAAAAACUUCAAAGCUGCCUCUGCGAACCCCGCUCCUGGACAACAGCUGGGAGGCUCUGUGUUUAAACGCGUGCACCUUGGACGUCAUGCUCCUGCCUCUGCAAGCCCUUUUGCUGGACGCCAUGGAAGGCCCUCCACUCGAAAGUGUGCACCUUAGACUACACGCUCAUCAAUACCAAGUUCUCUGUCCUUCUCGGCAUGAUU